GGGUAACGGGGUGUUAAGGCACGACACCGGAGAGGGAGCCUGAGAAACGGCUACCACAUCCAAGGAUGGCAGCAGGCGCGCAAAUUACCCAAUCCCGACACGGGGAGGUAGUGACAAUAAAUAACAAUACGGGGUUCUUUCGGAUUUCGUAAUUGGAAUGAGUACAAUUUAAAUCUCUUAACGAGGAACAAUUGGAGGGCAAGUCUGGUGCCAGCAGCCGCGGUAAUUCCAGCUCCAAUAGCGUAUAUUAAAGUUGCUGCAGUUAAAAAGCUCGUAGUUGAAUUUCGGGACCAUCAUGUCGGUCGUGCCUCGGUACGUACUGGCAUUGUUGGUUUCUCCCUUCUGACGAACCAUGAUGUCAUUUAUUUGGUGUUGUGGGGAAUCAGGACUGUUACUUUGAAAAAAUUAGAGUGUUUAAAGCAGGCUCACGCUUGAAUACAUUAGCAUGGAAUAAUGAAAUAGGACGUUUGAUUCUAUUUUGUUGGUUUCUAGGAUUGACGUAAUGAUUAAUAGGGAUAGUUGGGGGCAUUAGUAUUCAAUUGUCAGAGGUGAAAUUCUUGGAUUUAUUGAAGACUAACUACUGCGAAAGCAUUUGCCAAGGAUGUUUUCAUUAAUCAAGAACGAAAGUUAGGGGAUCGAAGACGAUCAGAUACC
rnacentral:rRNA from 1 species